rnacentral:rRNA from 1 species
AAAGCUUGCUUUCGGUAGCCGGCGACCGGCGCACGGGUGAGUAACGCGUAUCGAACCUGCCUCAUACUCGGGAAUAGCCUUGCGAAAGUAAGAUUAAUGCCCGGUGUUUUCAGAGUCCCGCAUGAGGCUUUGAACAAAGAUUUAUCGGUAUGAGAUGGCGAUGCGUCCCAUUAGCUUGUUGGCGGGGUAACGGCCCACCAAGGCAUCGAUGGGUAGGGGUUCUGAGAGGAAGGUCCCCCACAUUGGAACUGAGACACGGUCCAAACUCCUACGGGAGGCAGCAGUGAGGAAUAUUGGUCAAUGGGCGGAAGCCUGAACCAGCCAAGUAGCGUGCAGGAAGACGGCCCUCCGGGUUGUAAACUGCUUUUAGUUGGGAAUAAAACGGGGCUCGUGAGCCCCCUUGCAUGUACCAUCAGAAAAAGGACCGGCUAAUUCCGUGCCAGCAGCCGCGGUAAUACGGAAGGUCCGGGCGUUAUCCGGAUUUAUUGGGUUUAAAGGGAGCGCAGGCGGACCUUUAAGUCAGCUGUGAAAUACGGCGGCUCAACCGUCGAACUGCAGUUGAUACUGGAGGUCUUGAGUGCACACAGGGAUGCUGGAAUUCAUGGUGUAGCGGUGAAAUGCUCAGAUAUCAUGAAGAACUCCGAUCGCGAAGGCAGGCAUCCGGGGUGCAACCGACGCUGAGGCUCGAAAGUGCGGGUAUCAAACAGGAUUAGAUACCCUGGUAGUCCGCACAGUAAACGAUGAAUACUCGCGGUUUGCGAUACAUUG